GGAGGCGGUGGCGGCGGAGGGGGAGGUGCGAGCCGGGCGCCGCCCCCGGCCCCUCCCCAGCCCUCCCCGCUCAGCGCUCAGACCGCGGGCGGCCCAGGGGCGGGCGCGCCGCUGCAUCCCCAUCUCCUCGUCGUCGCCCGGCACAGCGCGAGCGGGCGAGCAGCGCGGGCGGCCGGAGCGCCGAGGCCCGGCCAUGGCCACCACCAGCACCACGGGCUCCACCCUGCUGCAGCCCCUCAGCAACGCCGUGCAGCUGCCCAUCGACCAGGUCAACUUUGUAGUGUGCCAACUCUUUGCCUUGCUAGCAGCCAUUUGGUUUCGAACUUAUCUACAUUCAAGCAAAACUAGCUCUUUUAUAAGACAUGUAGUUGCUACCCUUUUGGGCCUUUAUCUUGCACUUUUUUGCUUUGGAUGGUAUGCCUUACACUUUCUUGUACAAAGUGGAAUUUCCUACUGUAUCAUGAUCAUCAUAGGAGUGGAGAACAUGCACAAUUACUGCUUUGUGUUUGCUCUGGGAUACCUCACAGUGUGCCAAGUUACUCGAGUCUAUAUCUUUGACUAUGGACAAUAUUCUGCUGAUUUUUCAGGCCCAAUGAUGAUCAUUACUCAGAAGAUCACUAGCUUGGCUUGCGAAAUUCAUGAUGGGAUGUUUCGGAAGGAUGAAGAACUGACUUCCUCACAGAGGGAUUUAGCUGUAAGGCGCAUGCCAAGCCUACUGGAGUAUUUGAGUUACAACUGUAACUUCAUGGGGAUCCUGGCAGGCCCACUUUGCUCUUACAAAGACUACAUUACUUUCAUUGAAGGCAGAUCUUACCAUAUGACACAAUCUGGUGAAAAUGGAAAAGAAGAGACACAGUAUGAAAGAACAGAGCCAUCUCCAAAUACUGCAGUUAUUCAGAAGCUCUUAAUUUGUGGGCUGUCCUUGUUAUUUCACUUGACCGUCUGUACAACGCUACCCGUGGAGCACAACAUCGAUGAGCAUUUUCAAGCUACAGCUUCGUGGCCGACAAAGGUUAUCUAUCUAUAUAUCUCUCUUUUGGCUGCCAGACCCAAAUACUAUUUUGCAUGGACGCUAGCUGAUGCCAUUAAUAAUGCUGCAGGCUUUGGUUUCAGAGGGUAUGACAAAAAUGGAGCAGCUCGCUGGGACUUAAUUUCCAAUUUGAGAAUUCAACAAAUAGAGAUGUCAACAAGUUUCAAGAUGUUUCUUGAUAAUUGGAAUAUUCAGACAGCUCUUUGGCUCAAAAGGGUGUGUUAUGAACGAACCUCCUUCAAUCCAACUAUCCAGACGUUCAUUCUCUCUGCCAUUUGGCACGGGGUAUACCCAGGAUAUUAUCUAACGUUUCUAACAGGGGUGUUAAUGACAUUAGCAGCACGAGCUGUAAGUAUCAAGAAUUUUAUUUUACAAUUCAAUGGUCCACUUGAACUGUUAAAAAGGCUGAGUACAUCUCUCUUACAAGGUAGACCCUCUUUCCUUGGCCAUAGUCAGUAUUGUCCUUUCCACUAGAAGCAAAGUAUGUAACUGUGUGCAUGUUUGCUGAGCGCUCACCAGGGGCUAGGCUCCACGCCCAGUUCCUGUGAGGAGAAAACAUGUUUCUAUGUGCCUGGCAGGUAGGAGGCAUUCACAAAAUGUUACUUUGUCUUUACAGAAUUUUCUGAAGGAGAGAUAAAAACUGAGUUAAAUAAAGAUGAUCAGAAUGGAUGAGAAAUAACUUUAGACAUUAUUUCGUUGAACCUUCCCAACUGAAAUUAUUUUAUGAUGUUAUAACAUGGAUAGUAACUCAAGUAGCAAUAAGUUACACAGUUGUGCCAUUCGUACUUCUUUCUAUAAAACCGUCAUUCAUGUUUUACAGCUCCUGGUAUUACUGCCUGCACAUUCUUGGUAUCUUAGUAUUAUUGUUGUUGCCAGUGAAAAAAACUCAAAGAAGAAAGAAUACACAUGAAAACAUUCAGCUCUCACAAUCCAAAAAGUUUGAUGAAGGAGAAAAUUCUUUGGGACAGAACAGUUUUUCUACAACAAACAAUGUUUGCAAUCAGAAUCAAGAAAUAGCCUCGAGACAUUCAUCACUAAAGCAGUGAUCGGGAAGGCUCCGAGGGCUGUUUUUUUUGAUGUUAACAGAAACCAAUCUUAGCACCUUUUCAAGGGGUUUGAGUUUGUUGGAAAAGCGAUUAACUGGGGGGAAGUGGACAGUUAUAGAUAAGGAAUGUCCUGUACACCAGAUCGGAAAUGGAGUGAAACAAGCCCUCCCAUGCCAUAUCCCCGUGGGCCACGCCUUAUGUAAGAAUAUUUCCAUAUUUCAGUGGGUCCUCCCAGCCUCAGCACUUGUCCCAGGGUCACAUGCGUGCCCUGUUGCUGAAUGUACGUUGCGUAUCCCAAGGCACUGAAGAGGUGGAAAAAUAAUCGUGUCAAUCUGGAUGAUAGAGAGAAAUUAACUUUUCCAAAUGAAUGUCUUGCCUUAAACCCUCUUAUUUCCUAAAAUAUUGUUCCUAAAUGGUAUUUUCAAGUGUAAUAUUGUGAGAACGCUAUUGCAGUAGUUGAUGUUGUGUACUGUAAAGGAUUUUAGGAGGAAUUUGAAACAGGAUAUUUAAGAAUGUGGAUUUUUUAAAAUGCAAUAAACAUCUCAGUAUUUGAAGGGUUUUCUUAAAGUAUGUCAAAUGACUACAAUCCAUAGUGAAACUGUAAACAUUUAAUGGACGCCAAAUUAUAGGUAGCUGAUUUUGCUGGAGAGUUUAAUUACCUUGUGCAGUCAAAGAGCACUUCCAGGAGGAAUUUCUUAAAACAUAAUGAAAGGUUUGGUAAUGUGAUACUUUAAGCUUAUUCUUUUUCUUAAAAGAGAGAGGUGACUAAGGAAGGCAGGAAUGAAGAAGCACUGCCUGGCCUCCAGUGGAAUGCACAGGGUGGAGCCACAGCUCUGCAAGGCCGCUUCUCCCCCACGCCAGGGCUCUGCACCAUCAUGUGAGACUUAAAAAAAAAAAGUGGAAUGACUUGGUGAUACUUUGGACUUCUAAACUAAAUUUAUCAGGCAUAAAUUAUGUAGAAUUAGAAAGAGGCUUUGAAAAUAAUAUCGGUAGGUUGCUCAAAGGUUUUGAAAGAGAAAUCGCUAGGUAGGUUACUAUCUGGCUAAUCAAUUUCUUAUCCUUGACAAUUUAAUUCAUAUUUGGGAAACUUUUAGGGAAAUGAAAACUGAAAGUCAUUGAGUCUAGGUGACAUUUUUUGAGAAUAAUAUAAAUUCAUUUUCAAACUCUUCUCAUAUUAAAAUUUUGCUGUGAUCUCUUACUAAAAUGAGUUUUAGGUUCUGUAAGUGGAAAAAUGUGCUUUUAUUUUGUGGGCCAUUUUUACCAUGAUUAAUCUUGCCUUGGAUCGCUAGGUGUCUCCUGCAAUCCCACAGAGGACUGUAGUGGCCACAGGAGCUGAAAGCAGGAGAGUGGGAUUUGACGCCAGGCAGUGGAGCGGCCUCAGCCCCAGAUGGUACCUCCUGCCCUGUGGGAGGGGAGGGGGCAAAGCCUUCUGACUUCACCUUUAUUUGACCUAUGUAUGGAGCUUACUUUUACUUUUUGCCUUAAAUUUUUAAUGAAAUGCAAAUUUUCUGUGAUGAGUUUCUCUCUCUUUUUUGGGGGGUGGGGUCACUAGCAGAUUUGCAAAUGAAGUUAAGGACAAGCCAACCAUCUGGCUGAUGCUGUAUAAUACUUCAUUUAAAGAAGAAAGGAGAAGUAAAUGCACUUGCAGCUUUUGAGGUCUCAGCAAAAAUGGGAAUGUGUCUUUUUUGAAAUUUAGAAAUAUCCUGAUCUAUUUUUAUUUCUCUAAAAGUAAGUGUUUUCUAGCUGAUAAGGCUAACCUAACCAUUCCUUCUCAGGAAAGGAUUGAUAACUAAAUAAAUUUCCUCUGUUUUCCCAUGCAUUGAAAUUAUGUUGGCUGGGCGCAGUGGCUCACACCUGUAAUCCCAGCAGUUUGGGAGGCCGAGGCAGGUAGAUCACUUGAGGUCAGGAGUUCGAGAGCAGCCUGAUUAACAUGGUGAACCCCAUCUCUACUAAAAAUACAAAAAUUAGACGGGUGUGGUGGUGUGCACCUGUAAUCCCAACUACUUGGGAGGCUGAGGCAGGAGAAUUGCUUGAACCUGGGUGGCGGAGGUUGCAGUGGGCUGAAAUUGCACCACUGCACUCUAGCCUGGGCGACAGAGGAAGACUCCAUCUCACACGCACGAAAAAAAAAGAAAAGAAAGAAAAAAAGAAAAAAAUUAUGCUAGCUGUUUAAUGUGAGAGAAUAGAAAGAAUGUUCAUGGAAAGUACCUGCCCUGUAAAAUGUUUGAUCAUUUUCAUUAAUGUUGCAGAGAAUCCAACUGCUAUUAAGAGAAAGUGAACAAAUUAAGAAUAUAAAAGACAGAUUCAGGCAUGUCAUAAGUGAAAACAAGAAGGCUUAAUACAAACUUGUUGGGUUUUGUUUUUGUGUGUGUGUGUGUGUGGUUUUUUUGGGGUUUUUUUUGGUUCAGCCUAUCUAGCCACUUAACAAAUAAUCACAUUUCUGUUACGUGAAUUUACUUUAUUUCUCAGCCUGUAAACCUUAGUCACUGUUACCUGUUUCUUGCUCAGUGAAUAUAAUCUAAGCACCGUCAUCUAGAAAGCAAGAUAUUUGAUUUUUUUUCCGGUUCCUUUGAAGAUAAUAAUUCCAUGUCCAGUUUGACUGAUUUUCAUACCCCUGAAUCAACUAGUUAUUUUUAUGAAGUGGUUUUUGGAUAGCUCUCCUCUAGUUUGGAGAAGUAAUAAUCACAAAGAUUAAUAUUUUGCUUCUAGUACUUACAGUAGAAGAAUUUUAAACUGGUACGUCUACUCCUGUUAAAUAGAAACAGGAUUCAUUGUAUUAUGUGCUUGCUUUUUUUUAAAUCAAUAGAAUCAGAUUCAAUGCAUAUUUAUGUUACAUAUUUUCCACUAUUCAGGUAUCAUGAAAUCACUCCAGAGAUGAUCAAUCAACAUCGUAUUUAUACUUUUGGUUAAUUAUAUACUACUCAGGGAAAAAAUGAACAAAAAUAAUUAUUCAUCCUUCAAUUUCAUUUUCUUGAAACAGAGUUCGUUUAAUUUGGUAUGCCUCAGCUGUCACCAUUUUAUAAGUGGCUCGUUCUGUUUUUAAAAUAAGUAUUUUUAUUGGAACUCAGGGUAAUUGGGGGAAUUUAUUUAGCUUCUGAAAUAUCCAGCAGGAUAGAGAAGAUUUAUUUGGCUUCAAAAAUGUCUGGUGACCCCUUCUUUUAUUAGCCACUACUGCCCAUUUGAUUCAAAAAUAAAUUUAUUGGUCUCCACCAUGUGUGACACAGACAGGAUUUCCAAACAUACCACUUUUAAGAAAAAUGUGCAGUAGAAAGGAGGUUUCUAGAAAGUGACGGUAACUCACAUUUAAGCACUACCUGACCUGAGAGGGGACCUGGAUCUUCAUUCUGGUUCUGCCUUUCAUGAGACUUAAGACUUGGAGGAGCCACCUGUCCUAUAAACCCCAAGUUCCUCAGCCAUAAGCAAAUGGGUUAAUCAUAAGAGUUCAGGACCAGUUGGGUGUCAUGAAUGGAGCCAUUAGCAAGGUCUGUAGGAUUCAAGGAGUUGGGCAGAUUCACAGUCCACACUAUCGUCAUGGUUACUGACUUGUACUCCUUGAGCUCAAAGCCCUGACAUUUCAAAAGGUUGUCAUGAUAACAGUGAAACCUCUGAAUCCCUUAAAUCAGAAGGCAUGGCAACAUACUUUUUCUACUGGCAAUAGCUCUUACAAUGAGUGUUUCAUAAUGAAAUAGUCUCUGCUGAAGAAAACAUGUUUUCCUUUUGCUUUCUCUGCUUUGUUGGUUUCUGUUUGUGCUGUGUAAAAUUGGAGAAGAUAUAUGCUCUGAAAUAUUUUAUACAGAUUACUGACUACUGGACAGGGUUGACCACUAUACAACAUCUCAAAGUUAUUCAAGGAUAUUUAAAGCAUAUUUACUUUAGUUACACCUUAUUUUAAACUCCAGAAAACAAUAGCUUUAAAAUUUUUGACAUUAAAAUAAUUAUAAAUGUAUACUUUUACUCGAGGACUAGAUCACAGUUUUAGGACAAAAAUCUUUCCUAUUUAAAAGUAAUGCCUUGUAAAUAUUUAGUUUAUCUAUUCAUGAACAAAUCUGGACAUUUAUACUUUUUUUGUUUCCUUAUCAACUGUUCACAAUUAUUACUUAAUUGGUUUUAACAGUUCUACAUUAUAAUUGAAAGAAAAACUACUUGAGAGACUGAGUGUUUCAGAAUAGUGCCUACUAUUUCUGUGUCAGCUAAAAAUUUGUCCAGAGUUUUAGAUAUAAGCCAGUAUUUUGUGGCGUUUUAUCCAGGCAUUAAUAGUUCUUCCUGGCUGAAAUUUAAUACAUCAGAUUUAAUAUAGGUGCAGAAUCCUAAAUAACACUGUGAGAUGUCAUCUUAACUGCCCUCAAUACCUUAUAAAACUGCUGCACUUAACCCAGUGUGCAUUUAAUGAGUGGCUGGUCGUUGAUACACUCAUCUUAGAUGCUGAAAUUUCUGUUCUGCAGCCCUUGUAAAAGUGGGUUUCUUGAUCAAUGUGUGCUCCCAAUGCUGAAGGAAAAGAUUUGUGUUUAAGAAAAGAAGUACAUCCUGAAAUUUGAAUGUGAAAGAUUAGAACGUAGAGGGUCUCUACAGGGUUUUUCUGCCACACUAGGAUGUCAAAUCUGUUUAUAGAGACUCUGAUUACAACAGAAAUUUUAAAACAAAAUUUUCCACAUAAGUAUUUUGUAGGAAAGCUCUUAUAAUCAAUGCUUAAGCUGCUUUUUGAGGCUUUUCUUGUACAGAGGUUGCAGCCAAUUACAUUUUAAUUGGUAGGCUGCUGAAUAAUGUUUUUGUACGUUUUAAAAUAAUAUUUAUUUUAAUAGGUUUUUUAACAUUAUGCAAACCCCAAUAAAGAACUGACACGCUGCACAGGCCAUUGACUGGGAAAUUUUGUGAAACACAGCCUAAAUACACAGUUUUUACACCAACUAAUUUGUCUUGCCUUUAAAACUGAUAACUCUUUAAGUACAACUUUUAUAAAGAAAAAACACAACACUAAGACUAUAUAUUCUAUAAAUUACAGUGUAAUGAGCCAUGCAGAACCACUGUCUGAAGCUUCCUCAGUGAUGCAUAGCCAUCUCUCCAGCCAUGUUGUAUCAAAUUGCACACUAAAAAGAAAGGGAAAUACUACAAUGAAAAACCAAAAGUUACAGAGCAACAUAAGUAAAAUGACUAACCAGUUUCUUAGUAACAUGUUUGAAAUGGAAAAGGUGACUGACUGCCUUUCACUAGAGUCUUAGCUGUUUCAUGUUCACUAUUUUAGGUUAAUUUUCUUGGGAAAUCAAUUUGAAUAUUCCUCCCUGUCCUUUUGCAUUAUAGGACAAAAAUAUAUGUUCAGAGUUUGACAGACUUUUUAAAUAUGCCUCUUUCCCAAUUUUAAGUAUUUUUGGUUCUGCGUGCACAGAUUUAUCAAUGAAGUACAUUUGCCUCUGACUUUAUCACAAGGAAAAAGGAAUCAAACAUUGAACACAAAUGUGUUCCAAACCAGUCUUGUCCAUCUUGUCACUUUUAUGUGACUGCUCCUCUGAACCAGAAGGGGCAUGAUAGACGGCAAUAGGAAUUAAAGUAAAAAUCAUUCAGGGGAAGUGAGAAAUUCUACCAUAUACAGAGUGAAAAUGUGUGAUUUCAUUCCUGCCUUCCUUUAAACGUUGUGUCUUGAUCUCUGCCUAGUAGUAGUUAAGCCCUCAGUCGCCGAAACAUGAGGAGAGACCCAACUCCAGCAGCCAGAAUUUAGUAUUUACAUUUGUCUUCCCGAGUUGAGAAUAGAAUGUGGUGUUCUGUACUUUCUGUUUUUAUUAUUCCGAAAUAUUUUUUUAAAGAAGUGUUAUUUUUCAACAGAUUCAUAAAUUAGUUCCUGAUGUAUGGGAAAUUAAAACUCCCACUGUGUCAGUCAAACUGAUAUGCUAAUUUCAUAACCACUCAUUUCUAGUCUGUCAGAGCUGUACUGGUGGCUUAUUGCUGGGUUUUAAAGGUGUUUUUAACUUACAUAUAAGUGUUUUUUUUUUCGAAUUUGUGUGUCUUUACAACUGAUUAAACAGUAGUUUAAAAAUA